rnacentral:rRNA from 1 species
GAUGAACGCUGGCGGCGUGCUUAACACAUGCAAGUCGAGCGAAGCAGUUUAAAUGAGACUUCGGUGGAUUUUUAAACUGACUGAGCGGCGACGGGUGAGUAACGCGUGAUAACCUGCCUCACACAGGGGGAUAACAGUUAGAAAUGACUGCUAAUACCGCAUAAGCGCACGGCAUCGCAUGAUGCAGUGUGAAAAACUCCGGUGGUGUGAGAUGGAUCCGCGUCUGAUUAGGUAGUUGGUGGGGUAACGGCCCACCAAGCCGACGAUCAGUAGCCGACCUGAGAGGGUGACCGGCCACAUUGGGACUGAGACACGGCCCAA